GCGUCCGAGGAUGUCCGAGGUUAUGGCUAUUCCCUGCACUCCGAAGGCAGAGGCCACAGGUUCGAAUCCUGUCGGGUGCACCA
rnacentral:tRNA from 1 species